UACGUAGGGGGCAAGCGUUAUCCGGAAUUACUGGGCGUAAAGCGCACGUAGGCGGUUCGCCAAGUCUGGUGUGACAGUCGUCGGCUCAACCGACAAAGGACUUCAAAAACUGGUGAACUUGAGGACGAGAGAGGAACAUGGAACUCCAGGUGUAGUAGUGAAAUGCGUAGAUAUCUGGAAGAACACCGAUGGCGAAGGCAGUGUUCUGGCUCGUUUCUGACGCUCAGGUGCGAAAGCCAGGGGAGCAAACAGG
rnacentral:rRNA from 1 species